UACGGGGGGGCAAGCGUUGUUCGGAAUUACUGGGCGUAAAGGGCUCGUAGGCGGCCAACUAAGUCCGACGUGAAAUCCCCAGGCUUAACCUGGGAACUGCGUCGGAUACUGGAUGGCUUGAAUUCGGGAGAGGGAUGCAGAAUUCCAGGUGUAGCGGUGAAAUGCGCAGAUAUCAGGAAGAACACCCGUGGCUAAGGCGGCUCUCUAGUACGGUACUGACGCUGAGACGCGAAAGCGUGGGGGAGCGAACAGG
rnacentral:rRNA from 1 species